rnacentral:rRNA from 1 species
CAUCGAACGGNAACAGGAAGCAGCUUGCUGCCCGCUGACGAGUGGCGGACGGGUGAGUAAUGUCUGGGAAACUGCCCGAUGGAGGGGGAUAACUACUGGAAACGGUAGCUAAUACCGCAUAAUGUCGCAAGACCAAAGAGGGGGACCUUCGGGCCUCUUGCCAUCGGAUGUGCCCAGUAUGGUUAUUAGCUUGUUGGUGAGGCAACGGCUCACCAAGGCGACGAUCCCUAGCUGGUCUGAGAGGAUGACCAGCCACACUGGAACUGAGACACGGUCCAGACUCCUACGGGAGGCAGCAGUGCGGAAUAUUGCACAAUGGGCGCAAGCCUGAUGCAGCCAUGCCGCGUGUAUGAAGAANGCCUUCUGGCUGUAAAGUACUUUCAGCGGGGAGGAAGGGGUUAANGUUAAUAACCNUAGCCAUUGACGUUACCCGCAGAAGAAGCACCGGCUAACUCCGUCCAGCUCCGCGGUAAACGGAGGGUGAAGCGUUAUCG